GCGAGUGAGCGGCAAAAGCUCAAAUUUGAAAUCUGGUACCUUCGGUGCCCGAGUUGUAAUUUGGAGAGGGCAACUUUGGGGCCGUUCCUUGUCUAUGUUCCUUGGAACAGGACGUCAUAGAGGGUGAGAAUCCCGUGUGGCGAGGAGUGCGGUUCUUUGUAAAGUGCCUUCGAAGAGUCGAGUUGUUUGGGAAUGCAGCUCUAAGUGGGUGGUAAAUUCCAUCUAAAGCUAAAUAUUGGCGAGAGACCGAUAGCGAACAAGUACAGUGAUGGAAAGAUGAAAAGAACUUUGAAAAGAGAGUGAAAAAGUACGUGAAAUUGUUGAAAGGGAAGGGCAUUUGAUCAGACAUGGUGUUUUGUGCCCUCUGCUCCUUGUGGGUAGGGGAAUCUCGCAUUUCACUGGGCCAGCAUCAGUUUUGGUGGCAGGAUAAAUCCAUAGGAAUGUAGCUUGCCUCGGUAAGUAUUAUAGCCUGUGGGAAUACUGCCAGCUGGGACUGAGGACUGCGACGUAAGUCAAGGAUGCUGGCAUAAUGGUUAUAUG
rnacentral:rRNA from 1 species